UACGGGGGGUGCGAGCGUUGUCCGGAAUCAUGCUAGGGGCGUAAAGGGCGCGUAGGUGGCUGAUAAGGGUGUGGUGGAAAGCCCGGGGACCUCGAACCCCGGGUCCUGCCAUGCCGACUGUCAGGCUAGAGUACUGGUAGGGGCAGGCGGAAUUCCGGGAUGUAGCGGUGGAAUGCGUAGAGAUCCGGAGGAAGACCGGUGGCGAAGGCGGCCUGCUGGGCAGUUACUGACACUGAGGCGCGACAGUGUGGGGAGCAAACAGG
rnacentral:rRNA from 1 species